CCCUCCUACGCUCACCAUUUAACUGUUUGCAUGUUGCUUUAAGGUUUGUAACACAUACCUUUUAAGUUUUCAAAAUCCUAGAGAGGACAGAGAGAACCUGAGAAAAUGUGAGGAGAACAAUGAAAAAUGCAUGGUUUCUACAGUGAAACAUGGUGGUGGCAGACAGUGUCCUUCUGUGGGGUUACAUGAGCGCUGCUAGUUGGGGAGCUGCAUUUCUUUUAUGGUAUUAUAGAUUCACAGAUGUACUGCUCUAUAUUGAAAGAGAAGAUGCUACCAUCACUCCAUGCCCUUGGUCAUCAUACAGUUUCCUAACGUGACAAUGAUCCAAAACACACAUCUAAGGCCACUGUUUCACCAUUUCUGAAGAAGAACAGGGUUAAAGUGAUGCAGUGGCUACGUAUGUCUCCUGAUCUGAACCCAAUCGAACACCUAUGGGGAAUUCUGAAGAGACAAGUUGAAGAGACAAGUUGAGCAUCACUCUCCAUCCAGCAUCCAGGCUCUUAAAGAGGUCGUUCUUGAAAAUUGGAAAAAGAUAGAUGUUGCAAUAUGUCGCCAACUUGUUUAUUCCAUGCCUAGAAGACUUGGUGCUGUCCAUACAAAUCAUAGAGGUCAUACAAAAUAAUAGAUGUAGUAGUUUUUGUUGUGUAUUCAUUUGUGCAUCACCUACUUUGAGUAAGCUUAAGGUGCAUAAGGGGCAUGAUAAAUCGACCCAUAGUGUAAAUAGUACAACAGUAAAUCAGAGAACUUACUGUAAAACUGUUUCCCCUAGAUGUUUUUCAAAUUACUUGUUAUACCAGCUGCAGAGUAUAAAAUGUACAUGAAAUUGUC